rnacentral:rRNA from 1 species
CCACCACCCGCAGCACAAAGACUUUUUGGGGUGCUGUUUUGCUGAUGGGGACGUCCACUGGGAGCUAGCUCAUCAGCUGUGAUACCUGAAGCAGACAGCGUCAAUCCUCCAUAAUCUCGUGGCACGGGUCUAGGUGAAUGAAUAAUUUAGCCAGCAAAGUCCACAAGCCCAGAGACUUCACUCCUCGCACGAACUUUCAAUCUAUCCGUCCUCGCGACGCGCGCCAGGCCACAGCCGCAACACGCUACUAGCAGUUACGCGCCCCUCCUACCCCUAUCCCCCCACCUCGUCCUUCCACUUUCCCCACCUCUCAGGCCAAGCAAACGCACACCAGGCGAGGCAACGCAAAGAAGCAGGCAGGCAGCCAUGUCGUACUACGACCGGCGCGGGGAGUCGUCGGUGCUGGAGGCGUUCACGCUGUCGCCGCUGCCGUACCCGGUGAUCCUGAUCCUGAUGAUGGUGACGCUGCUGCUGGGGGCGUCGUGGUUCUUCUCGUACGAGGACUUCAUGGAGGAGGCGUCGGAGCAGUUCAGCUGGUUCCUGCUGGGCGUGCCCAUCGCGCUCGUCCUCCUCAUCCGCUGGAUCUCCUCCGUCGACACCUUCGAGGGCUACUUCGGGUUCUACCCCACCGAGAGCCGCUGGAGGGGGUACCCGGCCGCGCCCUCCGAGGGCAGCUCCCCCUGGGGCGUCGCCAUGGUCGUCGUCCUCCUGCUCCUCCUCGCCAGCUUCCACUCCACCUUCCAGGACAUGUGGAAGCCUUGAUGGAAUGAUCGAUGCUCCGAUCCAUACCUCGUAUGUACGUGUAUGUGUGUAUGUAUGUAAUUCCAUCGUAUCGAUCUGUAGUACACCUACGAAUGAUUGUUGCUUCCACCUUCCAGGCGGUUGCUGCACCUGCACGUAUGUGUGCCUUGCUUUUCCUCCUGUACUGUACAUAGAUGAAGGUUAUAUUCUGCUAGCUGAAAAACUAUAGAGCUUGAGUGUCACUCCUCUGUACUGGUUCUUGUUCUGUGUUUUACUGAAUCAACAGGUUUCUGUGGGAAAGUUUACUCUAUUCUGUCGAAAUAUUUGCCAUGUCCUUCGUUCUUCAUCAACAUACAUGUUUUUUUUAACUGGAUGGCAGUUGGUGGGAGCAAUCAUAGAUAGAAGCUGCACAAAGGAA